AGGGCGGGAUCAGUGAAAACCACGUGAUCAUCCACGAGUGCGGUGCAGAGUCGCUGAGAUAACCGGAACUGCAGAUGCUGGAGAAUCCGAGAUAACACGGUGUGCAGCUGGAUGUGCACAGCAGGUCAAGCAGCAUCAGAGGAGCAGGAAAGCUGACGUUUCGGGCCUAGAUCCUUCGCUGAGACCAAGAUUUGUGCAAUUGAGAUACCAGCGAUCGUUGCCAAAGCCCUGUUCCCUGUGGAGAAGGUGAUGUUUAACUUUCGUGUGCUGCUUCAGUUUGUAUGAUAAAGGAUAUUACAAGUGGACUUUCAGGUAGGAAGCUCAAUAAUUGUAACACCAAACUCUGACAGAAUUACUCAAUUCAAUCAGGACCUGGAUAUUCGCAUUGUGUAUUUCCACAAUUUUACUUCUGCACUGCUCUUACUCUUUCAGAGGGAUUGAAAGGUGGAGUUACAGAUCUAUACAAUGACUGUCCUUCCUCGCUGGCUCUCCCAAUUCUCUCUUUUGGUAGUUUGAUGCAAACACUGACUGGAUCCCUUACCUGGAGGAUAUUUAUGAAUGAAUUUGUUCUAAUGGUGAUCCAGCAUAUUCCCCAAGUGUUGCUGUACACAUGUCCAGAGAAUUUCUCAGUUUCACAAUCUGUGUCCUUCUGGUUUCUUACUUACUUUCUCUUUGAAAGUAUAGUCUGCAGUUGGAGAAUUUAAACAGGCCCACAUCCAGGUCUGACGGUCACUUUGUUUAUCACAACCCAAUUUUCUCAGGAUUUUGAACAUUGAAGGAAAAAGCAGCACUCACAUUGGGGAGAAAUGCACAUGGUGUGUGUGUUGAAGAGUCUGUGAAGAUUCAUCUGAAAUGUCCAAACACCAGUGCAGUGACACUGGGAGACAGUGUGGAAAUGUGCAGAUUGCAGGAAGGAAUUUCUUCAUCCAUCCCAGCUAGAAACUGACCACCAGAGUCACACUGGAGAGAGACCAUUGACCUGUUCUGCGUGAGGGAAAGGCUUUGCUGACUCGAAUUCCCCGCUGAUACACCAGCGAGUUCACUCUGGGGAGAGACCUUUCAUGAGCUCUGUGUGGGAAGGGAUUCAUUGUCAUCCAAACUGUUAACACACCAGCGAGUUCGCAGACAACCACAGUUGAAGAACAUUGCUGUCACUCUCACUAUCAAAUAAACCAUGGUGUUGGGCUGUUUGUACAGAUGUUACCGAUACCUGCUCAAUUAAAGGUGCUGGUAUUGUGAAUAAAAUGUCACACUAACAGUUGUGUAAGGUAGAGCUUGGAAAUAGUCACGUUGUCACAACACAUCGACACAUUCACACUGACUAAAGCCUAUCCACCUGCAUGAUAUGUGAAAAGGGAUUUCCUGGUACAUUCCUGGUUCCUGGUUAACGACCAGCAAAUUUCUGAAUAAGUUGAUUGGUUUGAAUAUAGCUAACAGUAGAAUCAAAAAUAGUAUCAGUGAUAAUGGGAACUGCAGAUGCUGGAGAAUCCAAGAUAACAAAAAGUGUGGAGCUGGAUGAACAUAGCAGGCCAAGCAGCAUCUCAGGAGCACAAAAGCUGACUUUUCGGGCCUAGAGAAGGGUCAAGGCCUGAAACGUCAGCUUUUGUGCUCCUGAGAUGCUGCUUGGCCUGCUGUGUUCAUCCAGCUCCACACUUUGUUAUAGUCGAUUCAAAAACCAUGUGUUUUGGGCUUGUUUCUGGAGAUCAUAGAAUCCCUCCACUGUGGGAGCAGACCACUUAGCCCAUCAAGUCCGCACUGACCUGACGAAGAUUGUCUUACCCAGACACUGUCUGCGUGAGUUUCCUCCAGAUGCUCUGGUUUCCUCCCACAGUCCAAAAAUGUGCAAAUUAUGUAGAUUCACUAUGCUAAAUUGCCCAUAGUAUCUUGUGUGCAAAAUGCAGGGAUAGGGUAGGGUGUGAGACUGGUUGGGAUGCUCUUUGCAGGGUUGAUAUUGACUGAAUGGCCAUCUUCCACACUGUAGGAAUUCUGUGAUGAUCUCGAUGGCCCUUUAUUUGUUAGAUAGGUCUGCACACCUUUACAAUGACAGAUUCUGUUGCUCUCCCACAGACAUUUGUUUAUUGGAAACAAUGUAAUCUUUCAGUUUGUGGAUAAAAAUCAAAGGAAUGUUUUAAAUCCAAACAUAGGAUUGGGUUGAGUCAUGUCCUAUAAUCCCUGAUUUGCAUUUUCCCCGUCGGCUAUGAAACCUGGUGACCGCUGUGACUCUGCCUGGGAGCAUUGCAGUCUCGUCAGCUCUUUACCUGGUGUCCAUAGCAGUGAUGGAUCUCAUGACGGAAACAUAAACCAAAACAUUGUGUGAUUUCUAGUACAUAUUUUCUAUUUAGUCUUCUGUCCAUCACUUCCCUAGAGGCUGAGAUACUGGUCUGGGGACCUAGGUGUGAAUCCAUCUGGAAAUAAGAAUGUGAUGAUGACUGUCAAUCCAUUGCCUUUGUUGGAAAAACCCAUCUGUUCACCGAUGGCCUACAGGGAAGGAAACUGCCAUUCUUAUCCAGUGAUGUGAUCAUCCCAUGAAUGAAUUUUUUUAAAAAAUUAAAAACUCCUGCAAAUACGUUAAACUGUCUUAAUUUAUUUGACAGCUGACAGUUCAAACUGCUUGAUGGUCACUUUCUCUUUUGAUCAAGUUGUGGCCAUUUCAUAGUUGAAACCAUAGUUAUUCUCGUACAAACAGUGCAUGCUCUGACAUGCCACUUAUGAACCAGACAUCCACGUUGACCAUAUCCUGAUGCUGUGUACCACGAAAGCAAAAUUCUUCACCAUCUUAUCUACUUGUGUUGCAAUUUCAGAGAGCUAUGGACUUGAACCUCCCAAACUCCCGAACACUUUUUGAGAAUUUCAUCAAACUGACCUCCAAUGGCAGGAAUGGACAGGGUCAGCUUGGAUUGAUGAUCAUAAUUCAGGCUCAACAAAUCUACUGGAGCAUUUUGAAGAUGUAACUGGUGACCAUCUGCUGACUCGCCCUUGACUGACUGCUGGUAAUAACAGUGAUAAGCUGCAUGGCUUAUGCCUGCAGUAAACAGCCAGGCAAGACAGGAGCACUGUGAGACAUUAGGUUCUAGUUGAGACAUCAAAGUGCUAAAAUGCCAGGGAAAGGCAGAGAUAUUGUGGCAGGCCCUAAGCAGAACAUGCCUCAGGUGCUGAAAAGCAUGUAGAGUUCUGACAGCAAGAAUGUACUUUGUGGACAGGCAAUUCUGCAUCUUGAUGUAACAUUUUUAUUUCACUCUGGCUCAUUUUGCUAGAUCUGCAAAUAUCUAUUGGUCUGGCUAAUUUGAGAAUUGGCUUUCGGUGUAAUGUGCUGAUUCAUUUCUGGAGAAACUCAGCAGGUCUAGAUGCAUCUUUGGAGACAGAGAAACAGAGUUAAGGCUUUAAGUCCAGCGAGGCCCUUCUUCAGAACUGAACAGGUUCAGAAAAUGGCCUUUUUAAUACCUUACCAGAGGUGGAGGAGGGCUAACAGAAAACAGAGGGUGUUGGGAUGCGGUGCAAAAUACAAAUGGGCUUUUAAUUGUGUUGAAAGAGAAGCAGAUGUACAAUGAGAGUAAAUAAAGUUGUGAAUGGGGGAGAUGGGUUCCCUCCACUGAAUGCAAUGUUAACAAGACACAAACAAGACAAGGUCACAUCGUCUGUGCCAUAUUGUGUUCAUCAUAUCUCCAAUAAUAACCCUGAAUGUGUUGAGCAUAUGUGAACAAUCUUAUAUGUCUACACACAUACGCUGAUUAAACAGUGUAUAUAAAAUCAUUUCUCCUCCGUUCCGUUGCAACCUAUCGUGUUUUUUUCACCUGUCAGUCGCCAUUCCUUCAGCCAAAUUUAUUCUGUCUCUUUCUCUGCAUUUUAUUUUAUUCCAUCUAUGAAGAAGAAAUUGCCUAAUGGGCGAUAUCAUGUUAGUCCUGUCCAGUCUGCACAGCCACUGUCCCCUCUUCCUUACUGUUCCUUAAUCACUCACAUAGAUAUUGUCUCUGACCCUUUACUCCCAAUAAGCAAAGCAAUUGGAAAUGUAAUGUUUAGUUUUGGGCUCAGGCUAAAAAAUUGGUCAGGAAAGGCUGUAUAAACUGCAAAAAAUUUGUUUGCAACUUUAGAAGCAAAUUAUUGAAAAUAUUGUGUUAAGGAUAAAAUGUUCAUUUAUUAGUGCAGUGAGAGGAAAGUUCAGCAAAACCCACAUUUCCUGCCUUUCUCCAGGCAGUUGUGGCCAGAGAUGUGUUUGGAUUGGCAGUUGUUGUGGUGGAGGAGACUUCGGUGAAAUAACAACCUCUCAUUUGGCUCUGAGGAAAAUGGUUACAUACGUCAUCACAUGUGGAUAACACAGCAGAAUCAUCGAGCCUGUGCAGAGAAAGUAUCAACUUUCUCCUCUGUCUCUAUCAUUGUGAGAUGAAUUGGAGAUGGGCAUUGAGACCAAUAGCAGGCAAUGUCACCCAAACCAGGUAUUGUUGUUACAUUAAAAGUGUCAGAGUGAAAGGGGUUAACGGGAGCUGUUUGUUCAGUGACUCGAAUUAAUGUCAGUCUCCAUGGAUACUAACUGUGUCACUGGAGGGUUUCCCUCUUCUAUUAAUAAGGGGUUUCUCCCAAUGCGUUAUCCCACAGUAUCUGUGGCUGUGGCAUAUUCAACACAAUUGGGAUCAGCAGCUCCAGAGAUGUGGAGAGAUCAGAAUCUGUGACCAGCAGAUUGGGAUGUUCCAAAUGAUGGAUCAGAAUCUCAGAACCACAGCCGGGAAUGUGACAACAAUGUAUAAGAAACUGAGAGGAAUAGAUUGGAAUGUUCCAACAAUGGACAGGGGUUUAUCCUCUGGCCUUUACUAUCUUUCUAUCAAUUGGUUACCAUUAACAUUGUGGAUACAAGCUGUACUGAUGGUUAUUCAGGCGGGUUACUAUCCCAUCCUCGCUAUUGUUGGUGUUCCCGAAGCUAUUGGUGUCUCAAUGGAGUUGGAAGCUUCAGUGAAUGUCUCCUGACUGCAGAAUUUUCUUUGGAUGAUUAUUUUCUCCUCCUGAAUUGGAGAACCGCAUGUGAGAACCUUCUCUGAAUUUUAUUUCUGACCAAAGUGUCUGUUUAUGGGCUGCUACUAUGCUGGAACAGUUAAUUAGUAAUAUUUGCUAUAGCUAUUAUACUAUAAGUUUAUCCACCAGAGCGAGGUUAUUCUAAAUUCCUUUUUUUUGGUUCUACUUUGAC